ACACAUUCCCAGCGAUCCCCGAGUUGGGCACGCAGACUGGUGUUAACAGAGGUCCCGAUGUCCUCCAGUUCUGUUGUUGUUGUUGUCGUUGUUGUUGUUUUUAAUGAGCUCCUCCUUGGGACAUGUGAGUGUUUGUGUCUGUGUCAGGAGGAGUUGUGUUCUUUAUAAAUAAAGGUAGAAAAAAUUUGAUAUGCUUUUGUUUACUCCCCCCCCCCCCUUUAAUUGGAUACUUACCAGCAAAGCUUUACUCCUUCAGUGCAAGUCCCUGGCUUACAUUUUAAGGAUUGGAGGUACUCGGAUGCUUAAAACUACUCUAUGAAAGAAAAUAAUGUUUUGGGCAGAGAUUAGAAUCCAAGAAAUGUUGGCGACUUUGUGGCUGAUUUCUUUUCUUUUUUUUUUUUUUUUAAAGAUUUUAUUUAUUUAUUCGACAGAGAUAGAGACAGCCAGCGAGAGAGGGAACACAAGCAGGGGGAGUGGGAGAGGAAGAAGCAGGCUCAUAGCGGAGGAGCCUGAUGUGGGGCUCGAUCCCACAACGCCGGGAUCACGCCCCGAGCCGAAGGCAGACGCUUAACCGCUGUGCCACCCAGGGGCCCCGUGUGGCUGAUUUCUAUUCCUGUUGAUGAACAAGUCACCAUUUACUUGGUUAACAAGGGCUUUUGACUUGACUCUUGCACAGACAGAGAGGAGCCAUCUCUUCUCUUUCUCGCGAUCCCUGACCUCCUCUCUAGAACCUCCUGGCAGAUGUGCCCAUCAUCCAGCCCUGACUCAGCAGAGCAAGAAGCCCCAAAUGCUAAGGAUCCUCUCCUGGCAGCUUGAGUUGGUUUGCCUUCAAGGCCCCCCAGCUUCUUCUCAGGAACCAGCUUCAUGGGGUUUGACUGACCCUUCCAAGUAGGACACCCCGACUCACCUGGGCUGGUGCCCUCCAUGAGAGUUUGCAGGAGCCCAAGAUGGGUUCCCUGCCCACAGCCAGGACCCCUGCAGCGCCUCUGAUCAGGCCUGCCCCUAAUGUCCGAGGGGCCCACGACGAGGACACGGAAGGGGGCCCACAGAUGGUAAUCCGUCCGAAUAUUUAGAAGUUAUGCAUCAAAUGAACAAAGUGUUAAAUGUGUUCCAUCCUCCUACCUUGACAAAUGUACCCUUACAAUGAUAAGAUUAAAAAAUAUGUGUAAAUAUGUGUAAAAAUAUGUGUACAACUAUGUCAUUCCAUUACUGAAAGUGGUAGAACAGUGACUGUGACCGAAUUUAACCAUAAUUGUUUCUGUCUGGGUGCUCUGUAGAUGGGCCAGCAAUGUUUGAAUGAAUAUAAUAAAAACAUGAAACAUGAAAAUUGUUAUUAUGUA
rnacentral:lncRNA from 1 species